GAUGAACGCUGGCGGCGUGCCUAAUACAUGCAAGUCGAGCGAACAGAUAAGGAGCUUGCUCCUUUGACGUUAGCGGCGGACGGGUGAGUAACACGUGGGUAACCUACCUAUAAGACUGGGAUAACUUCGGGAAACCGGCGCUAAUACCGGAUAACAUUUGGAACCGCAUGGUUCUAAAGUGAAAGAUGGGUUUGCUAUCACUUAUAGAUGGACCCGCGCCGUAUUAGCUAGUUGGUAAGGUAACGGCUUACCAAGGCGACGAUACGUAGCCGACCUGAGAGGGUGAUCGGCCACACUGGAACUGAGACACGGUCCAGACUCCUACGGGAGGCAGCAGUAGGGAAUCUUCCGCAAUGGGCGAAAGCCUGACGGAGCAACGCCGCGUGAGUGAUGAAGGGUUUCGGCUCGUAAAACUCUGUUAUUAGGGAAGAACAAACGUGUAAGUAACUGUGCACGUCUUGACGGUACCUAAUCAGAAAGCCACGGCUAACUACGUGCCAGCCGCCGCAGUAA
rnacentral:rRNA from 1 species